rnacentral:rRNA from 1 species
AACGAACGCUGGCGGCAGGCCUAACACAUGCAAGUCGAACGCAUCUUCGGAUGAGUGGCAGACGGGUGAGUAACGCGUGGGAACCUACCUAAUGGUACGGAAUAACUCGGGGAAACCCGUGCUAAUACCGUAUAAGCCCGAGAGGGGAAAGAUUUAUCGCCAUUAGAUGGGCCCGCGUUGGAUUAGCUAGUUGGUGAGGUAAUGGCUCACCAAGGCGACGAUCCAUAGCUGGUUUGAGAGGAUGAUCAGCCACACUGGGACUGAGACACGGCCCAGACUCCUACGGGAGGCAGCAGUGGGGAAUAUUGGACAAUGGGCGAAAGCCUGAUCCAGCCAUGCCGCGUGAGUGACGAAGGCCUUAGGGUUGUAAAGCUCUUUUGGCGGGGACGAUAAUGACGGUACCCGCAGAAUAAGCCCCGGCUAACUUCG